CCUUUCUAUCCAGUGGCAGCUCGUCAUUGGUUGUUACCUCCUAGAACAGUUUACUACAUAGGCUGAUGUUCUUCCACCAAGAAGUAUUGCUUUAUCUUUGUUGUCAACUUCACACACGAGGGAAGAGGAAACCUCAGUUUGGCCUUGCCUCCAUGGAAUCGGCCUGUGGGCAUGUCUAUGGAUGUGUAUUGAGCAUCUUCUGCUUCGGGAUGAGGUGUUGAUCAGGGAUGCAAGUGCAACAAGCCACAGAGGCAGAUCUCUGCCUUAUGUUUUAAUUAGGAGGUCUGAGAGACCCGUGACAAAAGCAUCAUGGAUAAUUAAAGCAUCUCACUGGCUUCUGUUGUCGUUAGAAUAAAAACGAACAUAUUUAAUGCAGCCCUAAA